rnacentral:rRNA from 1 species
UACGUAGGGUGCAAGCGUUGUCCGGAAUUAUUGGGCGUAAAGAGCUCGUAGGCGGUUCGUCGCGUCGGCUGUGAAAACCUGAGGCUCAACCUCAGGCCUGCAGUCGAUACGGGCGGACUUGAGUACUGCAGGGGAGACUGGAAUUCCUGGUGUAGCGGUGAAAUGCGCAGAUAAUCAGGAGGAACACCGGUGGCGAAGGCGGGUCUCUGGGCCGAUACUGACGCUGAGGAGCGAAAGCGUGGGGAGCGAACAGG